rnacentral:rRNA from 1 species
GAUGAACGCUGGCGGCGUGCCUAAUACAUGCAAGUCGAGCGAACAGACGAUGAGCUUGCGCCUCUGACGUUAGCCGCGGACGGGUGAGUAACGCGUGUAUAACCUACCUAUAAUUCUGGGAUCACUUCGAGAAACCGGCUCUUAUCCCAUAUAAUAUAUUGAACCGCAUUGGUCAAUAGUAAAAUACGGUUUUUCGGGCAGUUAUCGAUGCUUCCGCGCCGCAUUGGCUGGUUGUUGAGUUAACGGGUUACCAAGGCAACGAUGCGUAGACGAAGGGAUAGAGUGAUAGGCGACAUGGGAAGUGAGACAGGGACCAGACGCCUACGGGAGGGAGCAGAAGGGAAUGGUACGCAAUGGGCGAAAGCCUGACGGAGCAAGGCCGCGUGAGUGAUGACGGUGUUCGGAGCGUAAAACCCUGUUAUUAGGGAAGAACAAAUGUGUAAGGAAAUGUGCACGGAUUGACGGUACCUAAUAAGAAAGCACCGGCUAACUACGUG